UACAGAGGGUGCAAGCGUUGUUCGGAAUUAUUGGGCGUAAAGGGUGCGUAGGCGGUUUGUUAAGUCUGUCGUGAAAGCCCUGGGCUCAACCUGGGAAUGGCGAUGGAUACUGGCAAGCUAGAGUACGGUAGAGGAUGGUGGAAUUCCCGGUGUAGCGGUGAAAUGCGUAGAGAUCGGGAGGAACACCCGUGGCGAAGGCAGCCAUCUGGACCAGUACUGACGCUGAGGCACGAAAGCGUGGGGAGCAAACAGG
rnacentral:rRNA from 1 species